rnacentral:rRNA from 3 species
AUUGCCUCAGUAACGGCGAGUGAAGCGGCAACAGCUCAAAUUUGAAAUCUGGCCCUAGGCCCGAGUUGUAAUUUGCAGAGGAUGCUUUUGGCGAGGUGCCUUCCGAGUUCCCUGGAACGGGACGCCAUAGAGGGUGAGAGCCCCGUCUGGUCGGACACCGAGCCUCUGUAAAGCUCCUUCGACGAGUCGAGUAGUUUGGGAAUGCUGCUCAAAAUGGGAGGUAUAUGUCUUCUAAAGCUAAAUACCGGCCAGAGACCGAUAGCGCACAAGUAGAGUGAUCGAAAGAUGAAAAGCACUUUGAAAAGAGAGUUAAAUAGCACGUGAAAUUGUUGAAAGGGAAGCGUUUAUGACCAGACUUGGCCCGGUUGAUCAUCCAGCGUUCUCGCUGGUGCACUCUGCCGGUCCAGGCCAGCAUCAGUUCGUCGCGGGGGAUAAAGGUUUCGGGAAUGUGGCUCCUCCGGGAGUGUUAUAGCCCGUUGCGUAAUACCCUGCGGUGGACUGAGGUCCGCGCUUCUGCAAGGAUGCUGGCGUAAUGGUCAUCAACGACCCGUCUUGAAACACGGACCAAGGAGUCGUCUUCGUAUGCGAGUGUUCGGGUGUAAAACCCCUACGCGUAAUGAAAGUGAACGCAGGUGAGAGCUUCGGCGCAUCAUCGACCGAUCCUGAUGUUCUCGGAUGGAUUUGAGUAAGAGCAUACGGGGCCGGACCCGAAAGAAGGUGAACUAUGCCUGUAUAGGGUGAAGCCAGAGGAAACUCUGGUGGAGGCUCGCAGCGGUUCUGACGUGCAAAUCGAUCGUCAAAUAUGGGCAUGGGGGCGAAAGACUAAU